AUUGAACGCUGGCGGCAGGCUUAACACAUGCAAGUCGAGCGGAGAUGAGGUGCUUGCACCUUAUCUUAGCGGCGGACGGGUGAGUAAUGCUUAGGAAUCUGCCUAUUAGUGGGGGACAACAUUCCGAAAGGAAUGCUAAUACCGCACACGCCCUACGGGGGAAAGCAGGGGAGCUUCGGACAUUGCGCUAAUAGAUGAGCCUAAGUCGGAUUAGCUAGUUGGUGGGGUAAAGGCCUACGAAGGCGACGAUCUUUAGCGGGUCUGAGAGGAUGAUCCGCCACACUGGGACUGAGACACGGCCCAGACUCCUACGGGAGGCAGCAGUGGGGAAUAUUGGACAAUGGGCGGAAGCCUGAUCCAGCCAUGCCGCGUGUGUGAAGAAGGCCUUUUGGUUGUAAAGCACUUUAAGCGAGGAGGAGGCUACCUGGAUUAAUACUCUAGGAUAGUGGACGUUACUCGCAGAAUAAGCACCGGCUAACUCUGUGCCAGCCGCCGCAGUAAAAC
rnacentral:rRNA from 1 species